rnacentral:rRNA from 1 species
GACGAACGCCGGCGGCGUGCUUAACACAUGCAAGUCGAACGGAAAGGCCCUGCUUUUGUGGGGUGCUCGAGUGGCGAACGGGUGAGUAACAAGUGAGUAACCUGCCCUUGACUUUGGGAUAACUUCAGGAAACUGGGGCUAAUACCGGAUAGGAGCUCCUGCUGCAUGGGGGGGGUUGGAAAGUUUCGGCGGUUGGGGAUGGACUCGCGGCUUAUCAGCUUGUUGGUGGGGUAGUGGCUUACCAAGGCUUUGACGGGUAGCCGGCCUGAGAGGGUGACCGGCCACAUUGGGACUGAGAUACGGCCCAGACUCCUACGGGAGGCAGCAGUGGGGAAUAUUGCACAAUGGGCGGAAGCCUGAUGCAGCAACGCCGCGUGCGGGAUGACGGCCUUCGGGUUGUAAACCGCUUUCGCCUGUGACGAAGCGUGAGUGACGGUAAUGGGUAAAGAAGCACCGGCUAACUACGUG